rnacentral:lncRNA from 1 species
AUUUGUUCACUAUUACUUUAGGUCAAUCACUUAGGGAGAGGAGGGGGGGGGGGGGGGGGGUUGCUGCUUUUCUUCUAGGAAAAUGUGUAAUCCCCCAUGCUUUUGGAUGCUUAUGAACAAAUUUUGUCUUUAUCACUCAAUUCCACUAUUACGAAUAUACCGAUGCCUGUACUAGAGUUAUUAACAAAGUGUCCUUUGUCAAUUGUUUUAUGUUACUCCAGAUGUCAUAAGUUCUAAACAAAAGUGUAACAUCACUUGAUUCCAGUAAUCCCCAUACCGUUUAUUUGAGCUUUAGGCUUUAUGGAACCUUUUUUCCUCAAUUUGUAUCUAUCAACUGCUAUGUUAUUUGUCAAUGCAGGCUAUUAUCUAAUAUGUUCUCACAACACUCGUUCACAUGAAUCUUUUUCCCAACACAUUCCAGUAACCUCUCAGCUUCAGUGGCCUUAUAUUUUUUGUAUUGGGUGUGAUGAUACUGUCUUGUAUAAGCUCUCUAUCUAUAUAUUCUCUAAAGAUUAGAUUCAUAUGAAUUUCAAGCUUCUCUGGUUUACUUGUUUUUUAGCUAUAUCCUUCUUAGCUAUUACUAGCGUCCAUCUUACUUUUCACAUUUAUCCAUCUCUCUAUUUGCCAACCUUUUGAAAAAUACAACAAUUUUUCCCCUUAAUAUACUUGUAAUCAUUUUCUUUUAAGUUACUGGCAUUAACGAUCUUGCAACACCCUAGAAGCACAUUAUCAUCUUCAUGCACUCAUUAAAUUAAAUAUUAAGAUCUUGAGUUAAUUCUUUUGAGACGAUAUGCAUUCAUAAGUUUUUAAUAAUGCUUUGACACAGCUGUAGUGUUAUUUUGGUUGCUUGCCCGGCAUAGGUUGUUGAAAGCUUGUGCUCGAGUUGUGUG